rnacentral:rRNA from 1 species
UUAGUGGCGGACGGGUGAGUAACGCGUGGAAAACCUGCCGUAUACUGGGGGAUAACACUUAGAAAUAGGUGCUAAUACCGCAUAAGCGCACAGAGCCGCAUGGCUCGGUGUGAAAAACUCCGGUGGUGCAAGAUGGACCCGCGUCUGAUUAGCUGGUUGGCGGGGUAACGGCCCACCAUGGCGACGAUCAGUAGCCGGCCUGAGAGGGUGAACGGCCACAUUGGGACUGAGACACGGCCCAAACUCCUACGGGAGGCAGCAG